rnacentral:rRNA from 1 species
CGAUAGCGUAUAUUAAAGUUGUUGCAGUUAAAAAGCUCGUAGUUGGAUUUGUGGCGUACGGUGUGUUCCGGGCACUUGUUGUCUGAGUAACCUGCUGUUGCCAUCCUUGGGUGGAACCUGUGUGGCAUUAGGUUGUCGUGCAGGGGAUGCCCAUCAUUUACUGUGAAAAAAUUAGAGUGUUCAAAGCAGGCUUAUGCCGUUGAAUAUAUUAGCAUGGAAUAAUGAGAUAGGACUUUUUUGCUAUUUUGUUGGUUUGCGCAAAGAGGUAAUGAUUAAUAGGGACAGUUGGGGGUAUUCGUAUUCCAUUGUCAGAGGUGAAAUUCUUGGAUUUUUGGAAGACGAACUACUGCGAAAGCAUUUACCAAGGAUGUUUUCAUUAA